CCCUUCGGGGGUGCUCGAGUGGCGAACGGGUGAGUAACACGUGGGUGAUCUGCCUCGUACUCUGGGAUAAGCCUGGGAAACUGGGUCUAAUACUGGAUAGGACCGCACUUUAGUGUGUGUGGUGGAAAGUUUUUUCGGUACGAGAUGAGCCCGCGGCCUAUCAGCUUGUUGGUGGGGUAAUGGCCUACCAAGGCGUCGACGGGUAGCCGGCCUGAGAGGGUGGACGGCCACAUUGGGACUGAGAUACGGCCCAGACUCCUACGGGAGGCAGCAGUGGGGAAUAUUGCACAAUGGGCGCAAGCCUGAUGCAGCGACGCCGCGUGAGGGAUGACGGCCUUCGGGUUGUAAACCUCUUUCGACAGGGACGAAGCUUUUUGUGACGGUACCUGUAUAAGAAGCACCGGCUAACUACGUGCCAGCAGCCGCGGUAAUACGUAGGGUGCGAGCGUUGUCCGGAAUUACUGGGCGUAAAGAGCUCGUAGGUGGUUUGUCGCGUCGUCUGUGAAAUUCCGGGGCUUAACUCCGGGCGUGCAGGCGAUACGGGCAUAACUUGAGUGCUGUAGGGGAGACUGGAAUUCCUGGUGUAGCGGUGGAAUGCGCAGAUAUCAGGAGGAACACCGAUGGCGAAGGCAGGUCUCUGGGCAGUAACUGACGCUGAGGAGCGAAAGCAUGGGGAGCGAACAGGAUUAGAUACCCUGGUAGUCCAUGCCGUAAACGGUGGGCGCUAGGUGUGAGGGUCUUCCACGACUUUCGUGCCGUAGCUAACGCAUUAAGCGCCCCGCCUGGGGAGUACGGCCGCAAGGCUAAAACUCAAAGGAAUUGACGGGGGCCCGCACAAGCGGCGGAGCAUGUGGAUUAAUUCGAUGCAACGCGAAGAACCUUACCUGGG
rnacentral:rRNA from 1 species